CUGUGCCCGGACUCACAGCCAGUGGUAAAAGCCCUGUGGUAUAGCGUUAAGUGCUGCUGUUCUUAACUCCGUGAAACAAAGUUUUAUCAGCCAUGAACCAGCGAUGGAAAAGGCUGUCAUUUGACCAUACAAAUCCGCUUAGGUGGAAAAUAUUUGCUUAUCCUAUAGUACUUGGGUUGGGGAAGUGGGUGCUGUUACAGCAGCUCAGCUAACAGUGGUGUCAUGUGAACAAUGUUGUUCCCGUAGCCUCCUGGAGUCAGGAUAACUGGUAUUGCUCCCCCUCCAGAGCAGGAAAAGCCUUAUUGGAAAUCCUGAGGCAUGACAUGGCCUCAUGAAAUUGUGUACCGGGCAUGUUGUAUUUGCAUCUUUUGAGGAAUAAGCAGGUGCUACGUAAACACAUUUUGAUGCCAAAGGGUGUCUCACUCGAGUCAUGGUUGUAAAUUAAUCCAGUUAGAUUUGACUCAGAUUGUGAGAAGCUGUAGUUCCCAGUCAGCCCUUCACCCUUUCACCACCCCCUUCCCGUGUGCAUGCUUUGCUGUUCAGAUCAGACUCCCUCUUGCCAUUCAUUUUCAUGUCCGAGCGUCUGAGGUGUUGCUGUCUGAUACCAGCAGUGACUUGGCUUCGUUCUGGCUCGUCCUGAAGGAGGGACGCUUUCAUGAUUCUGUUUCCUGAACUCUUCUUCAGAAGGUUUUCAUCCACACCUUCCAAAGCAGGGCACGGGAUCAAAGCUGAUAAUCAAGGGCACUUUAUCUUGAAAGGGCGAGUCUGACACCUCUUUUAUUCCUCUUUGCCGUGCCCAGCUCUUGUGUCAGAUUCCUACCCCCUGGCAGAGACCAGGAGAUGGUGCCACAGGGCCCUGCUCCCAUCACUGCUCAGCAUUUAUUUCCUAACUUCGGGAUCAGCAAUUCUGCGGCUCGGGGAGAUGGUGUGGAUGACGGCGGGCCGGCCUGUUACAUCAACUGCUCUCAGAGCGGUAGUUGGCAGCGCUAAUCUGCAUUAUGUGGGAUUAAACAGGCACAGUAAUUAACUUGCAUAAGCGCUUUAGCAACUUUUGGCACCUGAAUUGCAGAACGUCCUGUCUGUGGUGGUGCCUGUAGCACAGGACAGCACGGUGUGAAGCUGUCAGGGAGAAAAUGGAGCUCAGAUUUCAUAUGCAAGCAGCACUGAGAAGGAGAGAGAAGAAAAAAAAGUGCUACAGCCCAGCUCAAAUAUCCAAGCAUUUUUUUAAGGAGUUAAUGUGUGCUGAGCACGUUACGGGUGUGUUGGGAGGGCACUGUGGGCACUGUUGUCCUCAGCCCUCUUUGAAUCCAAACAGAAAAGCUAUGUCCAUUUCCAGUCCUUCUCUGGUGUAUGGCAGCUCGUCUGUGCUGCUAAUUCAGAUCUGCUUUGAAUCAAGCUCACAGCAGGAAGGCCAAAAUGCAGCGACUGCAGUAUUUUGUCUUUCUUUAAAACAUACGGUGACAGGGAAAAGGUCUUGGAGUCAGCAGGAAAACUGAGAAGAUUUAAUAUCCCCCGUAUCUAGUAAGGUAUCCUUGGUGAUAUAUAUGAAGCUUGUUCUAGAUUUAUGUGAGGCAGAAGUCACUGCCAAGUCAUCUGGAAUCUGUGGGGUUUCAGGAAAAAGUGCUGAUCCAGUUUGCUUUGCAGACCAUGCGGGCUUUGUUUGUUUGUUUCAGACUUGGGGUCCUCCUGCAAGCCCUGCAGGAUCAUUUCAAGACCUCUUUGCUUUUCAGGAAGUGUUCUUUUAGGAGAUGGCCUUUUGCAAGGCAAGGCACUCGAAGUUUUCUCACCACCCAGAUGGUUCCAUACAGCUCCAUAUGUUUUAGAAGCAGUUGGGAAUAUGUGUAUUUCUGUAGCCAUCAGCUGCCCAAGGUGUGGCGGACUUCAGUGCUGUGCCAUCCUCAGUCCUAAUUCCGCCCUAAAAAUGGGCAGCGGCCUUGUGAAAAGCUACUUUAGACAAUGGAUCAUCAGCCCCAGAGGACUCCUUUUCCAGCUACUGAUUGGUGUAAGAGCCUCCCUCAUAUCUGAACGUAAAUUUCAAUGGAAAAAUAGAUCUCCUGCUGGCUUUGGGGUCCCUUUAGCCAGGGGAUGGUAUGGGACUCAGGAUUAGGGUGGACUUGGGGAAUGGGGAGUCAAAGGGCUGAUGAGUUUGUAAGUUUGUAACAGGCAAACCAGAGUUCAGUAACUGCCUUGUGGUUGGCCUGAGCCCUUGUCCUGGUGUAAAAGCAGAGGGCAAUAAGGUACUGUGGGAAGCUGAUCUCAGCAAGCCCUGAGCACCUCAUCCCUCACAACUCAGCCCUGGAAUCUCAGCCAGCCAGCAGUCUGCAGCUCCUCUCCCUUUGAAGAAAACCACCCAUGGGUGUGAAAAGCUCUGAUCCUUAUCUCUUGUGGGUGUGCUGUCAGAGUGACGUGGAGGAGGUAAAAACAGAAAGUGAUAGACACCGACCUCAACCUUCUUCUGUCAGUAUUGCUGUUUACCUGCAUGGAGAGGCAGGUCCCCAUUUCCUCCGUCAGAUGAUAAUGUUUGUUUUGAAAGCUGGCUUAACUACUAAUUGAUAUUUUACUUAAGAAACAGGAAAAUGAAACACAUUGUUUAUAGUUAAAGCAUUAGUAAAAAGCAAACUAUGUAAGACAAUGAUCCACGUGAAAGAACAAACCCAGAAAGUAUGAAUUAACGUAAGAUGACUUUCAGGCUUAGCUAAUUGUUUCAUUAGCUGGAAUCCUAAAGACUUGCCUUGCUUCUACAAGAAUCUCUUCUGAAUGUUGAUAGGCUGGCACUCCAAAUCUGUGGGGAAUAGGUUUCCUGGCUCAGUAUCAAUUUCAAGCAAAUCUUGCCAACUAAGGAAAAGAAGCAGGGGGUGCAGACUGGAGUUUUCAAAGAGUGCCAAUCUAGAAGUGAACUCCAUGGCUGCAACCACACACAGGUGAAUGUUCUGACCCAGAACCGUGAUUUCAGCUGCUGUCAGACCAUUCCACUCCAAUAAAGUCUAGUGCAACGUUGUGAGAUCAAGGACACUGCUGCUUUCACAAUAAGUGAUGGGGACAGGGAAGAAAAAGGGCAAAGAAAUGCUCAUGUCCUGGAAAUAUCAGAAGAGAUAAGAGGAACGUCAUGCAGUGUUUUGAAGAACACAUAUGAUUCACUGUCCGGUAAUGCAAACACUUUGCAGGGGUGCAGAUCAUGGUGUGUGGAUGUCCUCGUUUAUCUGCUGGAAGAAUGUCUCUAUAACUAUAUGAUCCUGAUGGACUCACGUUGCACAAAUGAUUUUGCAGCUUGCUUUAAACUUCAGGCAGAACUCUAAAUCCUUUCAGUCCUACUUUCAGAAUUCAGUAUGAAUUUCCAGGAUAACCAAAUUCACCAUAAGGUAACUUACUGUUAUUAUACUUAGUCACAAGAUUGUGUCUGAAAUUUGCUGUGCUCCAUCCAAAGCAUCUAUAUUACUUACCUUCACCUAAUACCCCAGAGAAAGAAAAUUAUUCAUUCACCCUUGUUUUGCUUUUCAGGUUUGAGUUUUUCUUGCUGGUAAAGAUUCCCUUAAUUACAUGUUUGAAGCAAUGUUAUAUAAAUAUGAUGGGGGUAGCAGUAAUUUCUGUCAUGAAAUUGUUACAUGGACUUGGAAAAGAAGUACACUGCAAAUGUGUUGGGAGGUUUACACUGGGGAUUCUGUUCGCACAGAAGACAUAAGAAGUGGGGGAUGCUUUCCCUAAUCACAUCUUGGGCUACUCAUUAAGUUACAGUGUUUCCCAAACUGUAGUUUUCCUCAAUUAGUUUUCUCAAAUAACCCAAAAUAUUUGACUUGCACAAGAGCUUGAAUUUAAGCUCCUGUUUUGGAAACUCUUGGCCACUUUUAUUUCCUGGUUGAAAUCUUGAACUGUAAAAUGUUUUUGCUUCAUGAAAACAUUGCACAGUAGUUGACUAAAGAAAAUACACCAAAUAAAGGCAAAAUGUCAGAAGCCUUUGUAGCUUUCACUUGCUACAGCAGGAAGGCACACUGAUUAUUUGAGCCACUCACUGUCUCACUACAGACAAGUCAUCAUCAACUCCAUCUGUAACACUGCUUCAUUAUUGCGCUUAUUCAUUUAGAAUUGUGGAAGAAAGCAAGUCUGUCCUGGGAACUGCCUUUUCUCAAAUCACAGGUGGGCACAGGGUCAUCUGGACAAGUCUGCUAAGCCUCAUCAAUGCAGUUUAACAACCCAGAUUUCCCAGAGCUGGGCAGGCUGGCAGUCACUGCUGUGCAGGGUAGCACAGGAUGCUGCGGCACCCAGCGCUGCCUUACUUGGAGCGCCAGCAGCACUGCAGCCUUAAACCUGUGGCACGGCUGGGAGAGCCGAGGCUGCGCCAGGUUGCGGUGUGCCUACAGCAUCCAUGCCCAUGGAAUGCAACUGGGACAUGUGGCAGCUGUCUGCAUGCGAACGCUGCAUGGCUGACCUCAAAUAUGGGACAUGGGCUCAGACCUGGGCUUGGCCAAUUUGAUCAUUGUUGUUUUUGGAGCUUGUAAGGAUCACCUUUUUUCUGCAGGCUGGAGCUACUGUUCAUUGUUAGAUGCUUGUGAUUUCUCUUGGCUGACUUGGUGCUGUCAGCUCAACUGUAAAGUUUCACUGGCCUAGAAAAUGACAGGAGGCUUUCGAGCAAGAAAGAUCAAGAGCAGAAAUAAAAUCUAUUUUUAAUCCUGCCUCUGUUUUCCGUGGGCGACACAAUUUCUCAUAGCAUGGCAGUUCCGGAGCAUGUGGUGUCACAGAGUGCUCCUCGUGGGUUGUUGUACAGAUUUACAUGCUUUCCCUCAGCUGGAAAUUUCAGUCUGGAGGAGGUUAUCGUACUUCUAAUACUUACGUAGCACUCUGAUUUAUUGCAGUAGGUUGGCAAUAUAUACGCAGUAACAGAAAACAUAAGAGAGGCAUUUAAAGAAGUACUCGAGCAUUAACAAAGCUGAACCAUGUCAAGUGAUGAUGAAUUUUACACAAUACCCUUGAUCACCCUAUUAUUAAUGUCAUCAAUCUCUCUCUGUGAGAAGUGGCAGCACUUAUUAGCUCUGGCUACGACCACAAUACCAAAUGUUCUACUAAAUAAUUAAUCAUUUGAGGUAUGAUGCCACAGUUUGCCUCUUUCCAAUUGAAGCGUAUCAACUUACUCAUUUGUUCCUUUAUUUGGAAACAAAAAGCUUCAUGGACAAAAAUGAGUCAAAUGUACUGAUAUGUACGUGCAGACUAUUCAGCAUAGAAAUCUCAUGCUGUUCCUUGUAGGAAAACAAAAGCCAAAACCAAAAAGCAAUCCAUCCUUUAAAACAACACCCCCAAAUUAAUAGUUCUUAGGAACAUAAGCCGUCUCUGCUGCCAGAGCCUCAUCCCAGCCGGCUUCCCCUGCCUCUGCACUGUCAGUUCAAUCCUCUCCCUGUUUUAAGAGGGCAUCUGGAAUGCCACACUACCAGGAUAUCCUUAGAGACAGAACCCUGCAAUGCCAAUUUGAUUGUUUAAUUAAAAAAAUCAGGGGGUAAGUGCCCCUUUGUUAAACUGGUUAUCGUUUGUAGCUAAGACAAAAUAGGUUCCAAACAAACAGUUUAAAACAUUAUCUUCUUUUUAGCUAAAGAUCAUUUAAUUUAGAGUAAGGGUAUAUUAAUUUGUUGUGCUCAAUUAUGUAGUGAGUCAUGGAGAAAGAUUACUAAUUAUAGGGUCAUUUAUUUUUCACAAGUAUGAAGGCACACAAAAGAAAUAUAUUCUAUCCAGACCAAGAGGCUUGUCCUACCCAAGUCCUUCUUUAUUUGUCCCUGCUGUUUCACAUAAGUCAGUUUGGUUUUAGUUUCAAUGUAUGUAUCUUCUUGAAGUGCUUAAUUUUGUUUGUGUUCCUCCAGGGAAUUUUAGCUAAAAGCUUUCACAUCUGUUAUAUCUGUGACACUGUUUUUUCCCCCUCUGGUUUCUUCCUCAAUAUCAGUACACAGCAGUCUGCUCAUCAAAGAUUAAUGCCAACCUUCCACUUGCAUUUACCCAUUCAUAGAUUCUCCUCUUUCAGUGUAGCUCUUUGUUUUUAUUAAUUCCCCCUGGAUACUAGUUAGAAUUGGCCACAUUUAACAAGAUAACACUGGUUCUCUGUUCUCUUUCCUGAUGAGUCAGUUGACUACAUUUCCUAAUCAGUAUUUUCAUAAGCAAUCUUCCCUGCUAGUUACUACUUGCUAUUCAUCCUCUGUUGUUGAUCAAAACAUAUGGCAGUGUUCCUUUCCCCUUGACUGGAUGCCUGGAACUUUUAGAAGUGAAAAUAGCUAAUGAGUUUUGCUAACUGGAAAUUAAAAAUAAUAAACAAGCAUUUGUGAAUACAUCAGUGCAAUCUGUAGCAGCCAUUAAUGAUUUUGCAGCUACUCCUUAACUGCCUGAAUGCUCUAGGGUGACACAAAAACUUUUUAAUAUAAAUCAGCUAAUAUCUUUAUUUGGCAGUUCUUAUCUUUGUAUGUAGUUUAUGUAUGAAAGGUCACAACCUCCCACAGUCACCAGUGUCUUAUACAUUUUGUGUCUUAUACAGUGUCUUUUAUAGUUUGAAUUUCCAAUUAGAAACGUGGGUUAUCAAUCAUUCUGUCUGUGAUCAUUGGGUUACUAUAAAUCCCCAAGUUCUUUAGUUUUCCUAGGGGUAUUCAGCAUAGAGCUGAACAAGAAAAGUUACAGUGUAAAGCACUCAUUACACUGACAUCCUCCCAACCCUCCACAUCUUUCCUACUCUGUACCAAACUGUUUCAGUUAAAAGGUAUGAUACAAUCAGUGAAAUCAAUAUAAGCUUUGCCUGUACUAGAUGUUAAACAUCAGGAAUCUAUAAAGAUGCUCAAGAGAAUGCUGAAUACAUGUAGACGUCUGUUUAAAUCAAUAUGCUGUCACGUAUACAAAUAUAUAUGUGUAGAUGUGUAUUUAAACCUUUGGUGUCUCUAACUCCGAAGCUGCUUAAUCAGCAGGGACUGCAGAUAAUCUUUCACCUCUGAUGCUGAACUGUGAAUGAGGAACUGCAAGGUGUGCAGGAAUCAAGUUAUCUAGAUUAGAGUUCUGCCUUCAGCAGCUGUCAGCACUGAGUGGUACAGAGGGCAAUUUAAGGGAUAUCACUGUAGACUAAUGGAAUUGGGACACAGUUGAGCCUUUUUAAUCAGAACGGCUUAAAAAUUGGUCUGAACAUUGGUGACUGAAAGCUUCAGAACCAGUCAAGAUCUCCUCAUUCUUUCUAAGUGUUUUUGUUGUUAUUUGAACAGCUGAGUUCUAUCUAAAUUAUCUUAAGAUAUGGUAUACACUGGACAGAUUUUGGGGACAUAAGAAGUGCUCUGUGAUGAAUGUCCUGCACAUAGGACAUCCAGGUGGGGUUUGACAGUUGGUAUUUCCAGGGCAAGGGAAGUACUUCAGUUGCUUUGCUUUCCAUAACAACCUUGUGAGAUAAGCAGCUAUAGGCAUGGAAUAAUCUAUGUUAUCCGUGGAUGUUAUCUCACUGAAUACUUCAAUAGUGUUCAGAUCUAGCAGUUUAAUAAGGGUCGUGUUUAACUGCAAGUUGUGCAUUUCAUGCAUUUCUCAAAGAGAGGUCUUUGCCUAGGCACUGUAGUAAUUACCAGGAGGAAACACAUGAACAGAGGAUUCAAACUUAGAUUCAAUGCUGAGCAGAUGAGCUCUGCCCCAUGCCACUAUCCAGUGUUAAACCUCCCAUUUUUCUUCAUGUAAAAUAGCUUUUGUAGUGUUAUCCUGAAAAUUCUUUGUCUUGAAUGAAAUGGCAAAGAUUACAUGGCAGAGUGUAGGACUGUUUUCAAUGUAUUAAUAUUCACAUCAUAUUCAUUAAAUUUACUUUGUCUCUACUGACGUAAGUAAAACCACUGGCAGAAAGCGAUGUGAAUUCUCUCCUGUGGCAGAAAGGCCCAUGUUUUCCAUCUUUGAAAAACAGUUUCUUCUCCUUCCAAAAGUACUUUUCCUUUUUUUUUUUCUUUCUUCUUCCAGCGAGCAUGAAACUCUUAAAUAGAACCUUUAUGUGCUCCUAACCCUAUUUCAGCUAUUUCAGCUAGCAUCUUUUUUCGUUGUGUAGUUCAUAACCUUUGUAGCUCAGUCAUCUCCUGUGGAUAAUAUUUCCCACUUUUUAGAAGCCAAUGGUCUUCUCUUGCAUUUCAGUUCUAAAUACUUAGAAGCAUUUUUUCCAGAAACCGAGGUGACUUCUGUUGCUCUAUGGUUCAGAAGUCUGUACUCUGUUAAUUAACUUGAGAAAGACUCGGUAUGUUCCUGCCACUCAAGGGCUCCACGCACAAGCAGAGAUGUGAACCUUCUAUUAUGAAGAGCCAUUUGCAGGAUCUGGAGGUGUCCACACGGACAGGUCUUCAGUAACGGCCGGCCCGAGCCCUGAGCAGCGCUGCCCAAGGCCGGCUCUGUCAGCCAUAGCCGCGGCGACAGCUGACGUCAGGCUGCCUGCGCCCGGCCGCUAACACCGACUUCACGCGGCCUCCACAACCUCCCCGCGCCUCACAGCCGCGGGACCCGCCG